UGGAAAAUCAGGAGGUUGCAAUAGAUAUUUCUCCGGCUGAUUUCCGCUUCUUCAUAUAAGUUCUGCCCCUCUCUCCUUUAAAGGACUACAGCUCGAGCGCACAUGCUUAGAGAGUCCAGGUACCACUGUGAAUUCCACAUUUGAGGAGGUCAUCUCAACUGGUUUGAGGACAUCUGGGAGGUCACAAUGCUACUUCCAACAUUGGGGAAGAUGGUUGCUG